rnacentral:rRNA from 1 species
AUUGAACGCUGGCGGCAUGCCUUACACAUGCAAGUCGAACGGCAGCAUGGAGAGCUUGCUCUCUGAUGGCGAGUGGCGAACGGGUGAGUAUAGCAUCGGAACGUACCGUGUAGUGGGGGAUAACGUAGCGAAAGUUACGCUAAUACCGCAUACGCACUGAGGUGGAAAGCAGGGGAUCGUAAGACCUUGCGCUAUACGAGCGGCCGAUGUCAGAUUAGCUAGUUGGUAGGGUAAAGGCCUACCAAGGCGACGAUCUGUAGCGGGUCUGAGAGGAUGAUCCGCCACACGGGGACGGAGAAACGGCCCAGACUCCUACGGGAGGCAGCAGUGGGGAAUUUUGGACAAUGGGGGCAACCCUGAUCCAGCCAUGCCGCGUGAGUGAAGAAGGCCUUCGGGUUGUAAAGCUCUUUCGGCCGGGAAGAAAUCGCACAGGCUAAUACCCUGUGUGGAUGACGGUACCGGCAUAAGAAGCACCGGCUAACUACGUGCCAGCCGCCGCCGUAA